AAAAAUAACUGCUAUGUGGUUGUUGUCCAUUCACGAUGUGCCACGCGUCUGAGCCUGUAAGCCCAAGUCCUUUGCAACUUCCCCCAUGUUCUGCUUAACCGAUUUGUAUCAAUCCUUGCAUGUUUCGCUUCGACUUCGACAAGAUCACCCUCCGUCACUUUCUUUCGACAUGGCUUAGGUACCUCCUUACUGUUGAACCGCUUCGACUGCAUUCCUCCUACUUCAAUUUUUCUUCUUCGGCAUAGUCAAAAU
rnacentral:lncRNA from 1 species